AGCCAGGCAGCCGGUCUCUCCGUCCUCCCUAAGGCCACGUGCCCCGCCGCCGUCCGGGAGUCACGGAUGGCUCCGGAUACCGCACGGCUAGCACUCACCGGGGCCCACAGAUCCCGAAACGCCUGGGACCGGAAGAGAAAGAGGAACACCGUGGUGCAGCAUGAGAAAUAGGCUUGUCGCGGCCGGAAGGGACUUCUGGAAAAGCUUCCCCCAGCGCCGUGAAGAUAGGUUCCUAACCCCGGAGGACACAAGCCAGAUGGGAAGGUGGUGGUACGAGCCUGGCCUCGCUCCUUCAGGACACAGAGGCUGCGACCCAGGAGCCCCUGGCAGAGUUGACAAAGCCAGCAUUGGGGCAGGAGCCUUGAAGAUCAUCUGGUUCCCGUCUCCAAGCCUAUAGCAGCACUGUUCCUGAGGAGAAACUAAGAGCAACACAAACAUCCAGUGACAGGAGAAUUGAGAAAUCAGCCACAGCUCCCACAGCAGCAGGGAGCCGAGUGUGUGAGUGCGCCUGCCUCUCUGCCCCAGAAGAGCGUGGCUUCAGCCCCAGGUCGCCCAGGGCCUCUACGCCCCACCACGUGGUGUCUGUGUGCACGAGGGCCCAUCUGCCCAUCUGUUUCCCUUCCCUCUGCUGUGGGCUCUGCUUCCCCGUGGUCCAAACAACAAGAUCCAGCCCAGAAACAGCAUAUGUUUCCAGCCUCUGCUAGUCCAAGUCAUA